rnacentral:misc_RNA from 1 species
AUUGCACAAUUCACAGAUACCUGUUCAUCCAAACUAUAAUUAGAUGCUUUUGAAGAGACAACAAGAUAUAAAGAAAAAGAAUAUUAAUGCUAGCAAACAUUGGUGGGAAAUGGAAAUACAUUUUUAUUUUCUUUUAUACUUGAAAUUACUUGAAAAAUAUCAUUUUUUUAUGUUUGAUCAUUGAAUUGCUAAUUUGGUGACUAUUAAUUAAAAAAAUAUGUAAUUUUAAUGUAAGUAUUUAAUCUAAAAAUUAUUUAUUAAUUAGCUUGUGGCAGUGUUCUUGUAUUUUGGAUGAGAAUGGUUAGAAAUGCCAGAGAACUAAUGCUUAAUGUAGCAAAAACAUGGAUUCUUGAGAAGAUAAAAAAAUAAAUAAAUAAAUACAAACACAACAUCAUCAUAGUCAUUAACAAUUACACCCAAGUCUAAAUUUGACCGCUAAUACGACACAACUAAGCCAAUACUAUUUACCCUGUUAAAAAAAAAAAAAAGCAAUACUAUUUACCGGAAACCCAUGCCCCUACUAAGCAUUUCUUGUGAUGUUAAAAGCAUUAACAGAUGUUAAAAUCAUUCAGCUUUAAAAGCUCAAAAUUUGUUUUAUGGUAAAAAAAAAAAAAAAAGGGGACUCGGUAGAAUACCCAAACAUAAGCGAGCCCAUUUAAGUGAUAUCGAUCUUCUGCCUUUAAUAUAGGGGUAAAAAAACUAACACUUCUGGCUGCAUGACAUGAAAACCUGCAAAUCUUGGAUUUGUAAACCCGACACAAAAUUCCUGAUUUAAAAAAAAAAUGGCGAUAAAUGCAUGAUCCAACCCACAAAACGAACCAUUUCAUCCGUCACAUUCUAAUGACCCACCCACCAGAAAAACCCAAUUCCAUGGCUUAACGGAGAGUUUUGUAAUCAGACCGAACAAAUCGCGCAGAUGUUACAUAAAAAUCCAAGUAGGUUGAAGGAUCUGUACCUGAGAACACGCGGAGGUGGCGGUGGCUGUGGCGAGGAAGGACGCUGCCGGAGAUUCAAAUAGCCAUUGCUUUGAUUAGUAUUUCUCGUGGUACUUGGCUGAUUAGAAGCCUCUUUAUCAGCUCUAACGACCCUACGGUCCACCCGAACCGUGGUUCGAUGAACCGAGGAGUUGGAGUCGUCCUUCACCUGGACCUUCAUGCACCUCAGGCGCUUCCGGUUACCCCACUGCAAGACAAAAUCCGACGUCGUUUGUUUGGUAGUCUCUGAAACGGCCCUUAACAAAUCAUCUCCGGUUUUGUGGGUAUUAUUGGUGUUAA